rnacentral:rRNA from 1 species
GAUGAACGCCGGCGGCGUGCCUAAUACAUGCAAGUCGAGCGAACGGACGAGAAGCUUGCUUCUCUGAUGUUAGCGGCGGACGGGUGAGUAAUACGUGGAUAACCUACCUAUAAGACUGGGAUAACUUCGGGAAACCGGAGCUAAUACCGGAUAAUAUUUUGAACCGCAUGGUUCAAAAGUGAAAGACGGUCUUGCUGUCACUUAUAGAUGGAUCCGCGCUGCAUUAGCUAGUUGGUAAGGUAACGGCUUACCAAGGCAACGAUGCAUAGCCGACCUGAGAGGGUGAUCGGCCACACUGGAACUGAGACACGGUCCAGACUCCUACGGGAGGCAGCAGUAGGGAAUCUUCCGCAAUGGGCGAAAGCCUGACGGAGCAACGCCGCGUGAGUGAUGAAGGUCUUCGGAUCGUAAAACUCUGUUAUUAGGGAAGAACAUAUGUGUAAGUAACUGUGCACAUCUUGACGGUACCUAAUCAGAAAGCCACGGCUAACUACGUG